GAUUAGUUUGAUCCUGGCUCAGAUUGAAACGCUGGCGGCAUGCCUUACACAUGCAAGUCGAACGGUAACAGGUCUUCGGAUGCUGACGAGUGGCGAACGGGUGAGUAAUACAUCGGAACGUGCCCGAUCGUGGGGGAUAACGAGGCGAAAGCUUUGCUAAUACCGCAUACGAUCUGAGGAUGAAAGCGGGGGACCGUAAGGCCUCGCGCGAUCGGAGCGGCCGAUGUCAGAUUAGGUAGUUGGUGGGGUAAAGGCUCACCAAGCCGACGAUCUGUAGCUGGUCUGAGAGGACGACCAGCCACACUGGGACUGAGACACGGCCCAGACUCCUACGGGAGGCAGCAGUGGGGAAUUUUGGACAAUGGGCGCAAGCCUGAUCCAGCAAUGCCGCGUGCAGGAAGAAGGCCUUCGGGUUGUAAACUGCUUUUGUACGGAGCGAAAAGGUCUUCCCUAAUACGGGAGGCUGAUGACGGUACCGUAAGAAUAAGCACCGGCUAACUACGUGCCAGCAGCCGCGGUAAUACGUAGGGUGCGAGCGUUAAUCGGAAUUACUGGGCGUAAAGCGUGCGCAGGCGGUUUUGUAAGACAGGCGUGAAAUCCCCCGGGCUCAACCUGGGAACUGCGCUUGUGACUGCAAGGCUAGAGUAUGGCAGAGGGGGGUGGAAUUCCACGUGUAGCAGUGAAAUGCGUAGAGAUGUGGAGGAACACCAAUGGCGAAGGCAGCCCCCUGGGCCAAUACUGACGCUCAUGCACGAAAGCGUGGGUAGCAAACAGGAUUAGAUACCCUGGUAGUCCAAUC
rnacentral:rRNA from 1 species